rnacentral:rRNA from 1 species
AACGAACGCUGGCGGCAGGCUUAACACAUGCAAGUCGAGCGCCCCGCAAGGGGAGCGGCAGACGGGUGAGUAACGCGUGGGAAUCUACCCAUCUCUACGGAAUAACGCAUGGAAACGUGUGCUAAUACCGUAUACGUCCUUCGGGCGAAAGAUUUAUCGGAGAUGGAUGCGCCCGCGUUGGAUUAGCUAGUUGGUGGGGUAAAGGCCUACCAAGGCGACGAUCCAUAGCUGGUCUGAGAGGAUGAUCAGUCACACUGGGACUGAGACACGGCCCAGACUCCUACGGGAGGCAGCAGUGGGGAAUAGUGGACAAUGGGCGCAAGCCUGAUCCAGCCAUGCCGCGUGAGUGAUGAAGGCCCUAGGGUUGUAAAGCUCUUUCACCGGUGAAGAUAAUGACGGUAACCGGAGAAGAAGCCCCGGCUAACUUCGUGCCAGCCGCCGCCGUAACAC